AAUGAACGCUGGCGGCGUGCUUUAACACAUGCAAGUCGAACGAUGAAGCCUAGCUUGCUAGGUGGAUUAGUGGCGCACGGGUGAGUAAUAUAUAGAUAACGUGCCUCUUAGUCUGGGAUAGCAUUGGAAACGAUGAUUAAUACUAGAUACUCCUUCUCAUUAUAAUUUGAGUUGGGAAAGUUUUUUCGCUUAAGAGAUCGGUCUAUAUCCCAUCAGCUUGUUGGUAGUGUAAGAGACUACCAAGGCUAUGACGGGUAGCGGGUUUGAGAGGAUGAUCCGCCACACUGGUACUGAGACACGGACCAGACUCCUACGGGAGGCAGCAGUGAGGAAUAUUGCACAAUGGGGGAAACCCUGAUGCAGCAACGCCGCGUGGAGGAUGACGCAUUUCGGUGUGUAAACUCCUUUUAUAUGUCAAGAAAAUGACGGUAGCAUAUGAAUAAGCACCGGCUAACUCCGUG
rnacentral:rRNA from 1 species